rnacentral:rRNA from 1 species
UACAGAGGGGGCAAGCGUUGUUCGGAAUUACUGGGCGUAAAGGGCGCGUAGGCGGCCUGCUAAGUCGAACGUGAAAUCCCCGGGCUCAACCCGGGAACUGCGUCCGAUACUGGCAGGCUUGAAUCCAGGAGAGGGAUGUGGAAUUCCAGGUGUAGCGGUGAAAUGCGUAGAUAUCUGGAGGAACACCGGUGGCGAAGGCGGCAUCCUGGACCGGCAUUGACGCUGAGGCGCGAAAGCGUGGGGAGCAAACAGG